CAACUACAUUUUUGUAUCAUAGAAAAAGGGACACAAAAAAGUAAUUUAAAACUGGUCAGCAGUGACGGUUACGAAUACACAAAGAGGUAUAUAUUUUUUUUCAAAAGUAUAGAAUUAAUAUCUCACACCAAACAUAUUUUUAAGCUUUGGCUAAAAAAUAUCCACUUAACAUUGUAAAUGAUAUGAAUUAUGAAAUUAAAGUUAGAUUUUUGAUUUCCUUGAAAUAUUAACGGUUAACUAAGAUAAGUUAACUACUGUACGUGUAUAUUCUUUACUUUUUAGAUGUUUAAAGGCAAUUUCACCUACUGGAGAUGCAUCAAACGAUCAAAAAGCAGUAAUUGUCCCGCUACUGUGUCACAGAAGGGAAUCAAUUUUAAAAUAAAUCCUAAACUCCACAUACAUUGUACACCCAGCAGAUAAGGGGGC
rnacentral:lncRNA from 1 species